rfam:Ciona savignyi cont_16358, whole genome shotgun sequence.
CGGCGCGGUCCGGCGGAGGUUGGAUCCCGUCCCGUGAGGGACGGGCGCACUUCCUGUCGAUCUUUUCCGCCCUUGUCGGCUGAGGGUCCGAGGCGAGAACGCGUGCAAGUCGCGGACCCUGAAAGAUGGUGAACUAUGCCUGAGGAGGUUGAAGCCAGAGGAAACUCUGGUGGAGGACCGUAGCGAUUCUGACGUGCAAAUCGAUCGUCAAAUUUGGGUAUAGGGGCGAAAGACUAAUCGAACCGUCUAGUAGCUGGUUCCCUUCGAAGUUUCCCUCAGGAUAGCUGGCGCUCUGUCGCAGUUUUAUCUGGUAAAGCGAAUGAUUAGAGGUCUUGGGGGCGAAACGCCCCUCAACCCUAUUCUCAAACUUUAAAUUGGUAAGAAGCCCGACUCGCUCGUUUGGAGCCGGGCAUGGAAUGCGAGUGCCAAGUGGGCCACUCUUGGUAAGCAGGACUGGCGAUGCGGGAUGAACCGAACGCCGGGUUAAGGCGCCCGACGCGACGCUCAUCAGAGCCCACAAAAGGUGUUGGUUGAUAUAGACAGCAGGACGGUGGCCAUGGAAGUCGGAAACCGCUAGCUCUUAAUGAGGAAGUUGCCGAGAUUAAAGAUUCCGGAAAAAAUCAAGCUGAAACGGAGAUUUUGUGCUGUUAAAAGUGGCUGCAAGAAUGUCGUUUUUAUCAAAAUAUCGGAAAUUAAACCGCGUGAAUUUGUUGAGCGAAUAAUUGCAACGAUUGGUGCUGCU